rnacentral:rRNA from 1 species
UCCUACGGGAGGCAGCAGUGGGGAAUUUUGGACAAUGGGGGCAACCCUGAUCCAGCAAUGCCGCGUGCAGGAAGAAGGCCUUCGGGUUGUAAACUGCUUUUGUACGGAACGAAACGGCUCUGGUUAAUACCCGGGGCUAAUGACGGUACCGUAAGAAUAAGGACCGGCUAACUACGUGCCAGCAGCCGCGGUA